rnacentral:rRNA from 1 species
GAUGAACGCUGGCGGCGUGCCUAACACAUGCAAGUCGGACGGAGUCCAGCCUUAGAGACCUUCGGGUCAAAGAGGGGAAGACUGAGUGGCGGACGGGUGAGUAACACGUGGGCAACCUGGCUCAUAGAGGGGGAUAACAGAGAGAAAUUUCUGCUAAUACCGCAUAAGCACACACUGCCGCAUGGCAGAGGGUGAAAAGAGAAUCGCUAUGAGAUGGACCCGCGUCUGAUUAGCCAGUUGGCAGGGUAAGAGCCUACCAAAGCGACGAUCAGUAGCCGAUCUGAGAGGAUGAACGGCCACAUUGGGACUGAGACACGGCCCAAACUCCUACGGGAGGCAGCAGUGGGGGAUAUUGCACAAUGGGGGGAACCCUGAUGCAGCGACGCCGCGUGA